rnacentral:rRNA from 1 species
AUUGAACGCUGGCGGCAGGCCUAACACAUGCAAGUCGAACGAGUGGCGGACGGGUGAGUAAUGUCUGGGAGACUGCCUGAUGGAGGGGGAUAACUACUGGAAACGGUAGCUAAUACCGCAUACCAUCGGAUGUGCCCAGGUGGGAUUAGCUAGUAGGUGGGGUAAAGGCUCACCUAGGCGACGAUCCCUAGCUGGUCUGAGAGGCUGACAAGCCACACUGGAACUGAGACACGGUGCAGACGCCUACGGGAGGCAGCAGUGGGGAAGAUUGCACAAUGGGCGAAAGCCUGAUACAGCCAUGCCGCGUGUAUGAAGAAGGCAUGCGGGUUGUAAAGUACUUUCAGCGGGGAGGCGUUACCCGCAGAAGAAGCACCGGCUAACUACGUGCCAGCAGCCGCGGUAAUAC